rnacentral:rRNA from 1 species
GUUUGAUCCUGGCCUCAGAUUGAACGCUGGCGGCAUGCCUUACACAUGCAAGUCGAACGGUAACAGGUUAAGCUGACGAGUGGCGAACGGGUGAGUAAUGUAUCGGAACGUGCCCAGUCGUGGGGGAUAACUGCUCGAAAGAGCAGCUAAUACCGCAUACGACCUGAGGGUGAAAGCGGGGGAUCGCAAGACCUCGCGCGAUUGGAGCGGCCGAUAUCAGAUUAGGUAGUUGGUGAGGUAAAGGCUCACCAAGCCGACGAUCUGUAGCUGGUCUGAGAGGACGACCAGCCACACUGGGACUGAGACACGGCCCAGACUCCUACGGGAGGCAGCAGUGGGGAAUUUUGGACAAUGGGCGCAAGCCUGAUCCAGCCAUGCCGCGUGCGGGAAGAAGGCCUUCGGGUUGUAAACCGCUUUUGUCAGGGAAGAAAAGGUUCUGGCUAAUACCUGGGACUCAUGACGGUACCUGAAGAAUAAGCACCGGCUAACUACGUGCCAGCAGCCGCGGUAAUACGUAGGGUGCAAGCGUUAAUCGGAAUUACUGGGCGUAAAGCGUGCGCAGGCGGUUAUGCAAGACAGAGGUGAAAUCCCCGGGCUCAACCUGGGAACUGCCUUUGUGACUGCAUGGCUAGAGUACGGUAGAGGGGGAUGGAAUUCCGCGUGUAGCAGUGAAAUGCGUAGAUAUGCGGAGGACACCGAUGGCGAAGGCAAUCUCCUUGGACCUGUACUGACGCUCAUGCACGAAAGCGUGGGGAGCAAACAGGAUUAGAUACCUGUAGUCCACGCCCUAAACGAUGUCAACUGGUUGUUGGGAGGCUUUCUUCUCAGUAACGUAGCUAACGCCGGUGAAGUUGACCGGCUGGGGAGUACGUCCGCAAGGUUGAACUUCAAAAGGAUGGACGGUAUCCGCACAAGCGGUGGGAUGUAGGGUUAAUUCGAAUGCAACGCCGAAAAGCCUACCUUACCUUGACAUGUCUGGAAUCUGAAAGAGUCGGUAGGGCUCGACGAAAUCGGAAAACAGGGCUGCAUGGCCGUCUCAGUCGGGUCCUGGAAGGGUUGCUUAGUUUUCGAACAAGCUAUCCUUGCCCUAUUGGUUAGGCACUAGUACUGCGGGUGCACAACUGGUAGAAGCUG